rnacentral:rRNA from 1 species
AAUGAAGUUUACUAAGUGCACAGGGUGGAUGCCUUGGCAAUAGGAGCCGAAGAAGGACGUAGUAAUCUGCGAUAAGCCUCGGGGAGUUGAUAAACGAACUUUGAUCCGAGGAUUUCCGAAUGGGGAAACCUGGCUGGAGUCAUGUCCAGUCAUCUCUGCCUGAAUAAAAUAGGGCAGUUGAAGGGAACGCAGGGAAGUGAAACAUCUCAGUACCUGCAGGAAAAGAUAUUCCGUUAGUAGUGGCGAGCGAACGCGGAAAAGGCCAAACCAGUUAUGUGUGAUAGGUGCAAGCCGUUGCAUAACUGGGGUAGUGGGACUCACUUGACAUCUCUUGCAGGGUGUCUACGAGUUACAAAGUUAUGGUAUAGUCGAAGGUCAUUGAAUGGGCCGGCGCAGAGGGUGGCACCCCCGUAGACGAAAUGCUGUAGCCUCUAUGUGAGGAUCCCAAGUAGCACCGGACUCGUGAAAUCUGGUGUGACUCUGUCGAGACCACUCGAUAAGCCUAAAUACUACCUAUUGACCGAUAGUGGACAAGUACCGUGAGGGAAAGGUGAAAAGUACCCCGAGAGGGGAGUGAAAUAGUACCUGAAACCGUGUGCAUACAAUCCGUCAGAGCCUCCGUACAUUAUGUACAUGCUGGGGUGAUGGCGUGCCUUUUGAAGAAUGAGCCUGCGAGUUAGUGUUCAGUUGCGAGGUUAACCCGAGUGGGGAAGCCGUAGCGAAAGCGAGUCCGAAUAGGGCGUUUGAGUAGCUGGAUCUAGACC